GACGAACGCUGGCGGCGUGCUUAACACAUGCAAGUCGAACGGAAAGGCCCUGCUUGCAGGGUGCUCGAGUGGCGAACGGGUGAGUAACACGUGGGUGAUCUGCCCCUUACUUUGGGAUAAGCCUGGGAAACUGGGUCUAAUACUGGAUAGGACCAUGCUGUAGGUGGUGUGGUGGAAAGAUUAGUUUCGGUAAGGGAUGAGCUCGCGGCCUAUCAGCUUGUUGGUGGGGUAAUGGCCUACCAAGGCGUCGACGGGUAGCCGGCCUGAGAGGGUGGACGGCCACAUUGGGACUGCGAUACGGCCCAGACUCCUACGGGAGGCAGCAGUGGGGAGUAUUGCACCAUAGGAGCAAGCCUGAUGCAGCGACGCCGCGUGGGGGAUGACGGCCUUCGGGUUGUAAACUCCUUUCAGCCAUGACGAAGCCCUUGUGGUGACGGUAGUGGUAGAAGAAGCACCGGCUAACUACGUG
rnacentral:rRNA from 1 species